rnacentral:rRNA from 1 species
CACGUAGGGGGCAAGCGUUGUCCGGAUUUAUUGGGCGUAAAGAGCUCGUAGGCGGCUCAGUAAGUCGGGUGUGAAACCUCCAGGCUCAACCUGGAGACGCCACCCGAUACUGCUGUGGCUUGAGUCCGGUAGGGGAGCGUGGAAUUCCUGGUGUAGCGGUGAAAUGCGCAGAUAUCAGGAGGAACACCAGCGGCGAAGGCGGCGCUCUGGGCCGGAACUGACGCUGAGGAGCGAAAGCGUGGGGAGCAAACAGG